rnacentral:rRNA from 1 species
CGAAAUGCGAUACGUGGUGUGAAUUGCAGAAUCCCGCGAACCAUCGAAUCUUUGAACGCAAGUUGCGCCCGAGGCCGCCGGGCCGAGGGCACGCCUGCCUGGGCGUCACGC